rnacentral:sRNA from 1 species
CAAUUGUAUACAGCUUUGAGAGAACAAAUUCAUGAAUUUGUCCAGGAUUUUUGGACUUUUGAUCACAUCACCAGGCCAAAACUUUCAUUGGCAGUUCCUUCAAAGACAGAUCAUUAGGAAGAUUCCAUUGAGGUGAAGAGUUCAUGACUGUAAAAAUAAUAAAUUAAUAUGUUACUCAAACAAAAAUUACUAUUCCCCCACUGCAUACACUAAAAAAAGAAUGAUCCGAUUAUACCCAAUUAACCUCCUCCCUCGAAAUAACCAUCACUGAGCCUUCGAUAUCGAACUAACAAUUACAGUUUUGUUACAUUGGUUCAAAUCUAGAAGUCCUCACAAGUCAGCUGGAUGAGAUUUGGCAAGUAAAUUUGAGAAGAACAUGCUUAUGUUUGGAAGAACGUGAUGUAUCACGGUACUAUACCAUGGUUCACGACUCAGUACAUCAAAUUUCUCCAACAUAAACAGUAUGCAUGCAUUUCCUAAUGAAGUAGCAUUGAAGUCUUCAGCCAUCUUGUACAGUUGUACAACAUUUUCCAAUGAAAUUUCCUAUAAAAUUAAGUUGGUUAGCCUUGAGAUGAAAUUAACAAAAGCUUUCUAUUAAAGAAAAAAAAAAAUCAUGAAACACAAGUUUGGUGUACCUGAACAAUAGCACAUUCACAAAUACGCUUAAGACCGUCUAGAAGAUACUGAUCUGCCGCUUUGAGGAGAUCCUUAGCCAUAUCCACACUGACAUCUACCGAUCCAGUGUAUAUAAAUCUAGAAGUUUCAACGUAAGAUUAGUUGUGAUAUUACAAAAUCAAAAUGAAAAGAUGGCUAAAAAUGCACCUCAUCAUCAAUUCAAAGACAUCCCACUUUAUAUUUGGAAUAAGUACAUUGUUUGCUUCCCUCUCCUGCACCACAAUUCGUAAGACAUUGCAUUAGUAUGGAUAUUUUCAUCUGACUGACGGCUUCAGUUCCACAGAACCACUAGUCGUAUUUUAAUUCAAAGUGAU